UAGGUUUGUCCUAAGUCAAACUUCCUCAAUUGUGAACAAGUUUAUAGAAAAAAUUACUAAUAUCCACAACUUCAAAUAUAGAUAGCAUGAAAAUAUAUUUUAUGAAGAAUCCAGUGAAACUAAUUUGGGGUCGUAAAUGUUCGUAUAUUUUUCUGUAGAGUCGAUCAAACUUAAAGAAGUGAGUUAGGACAAACCUAG
rfam:Triticum urartu cultivar G1812 contig1174255, whole genome shotgun sequence.